GCUAGCGUAGCUUAAAUAAAGCAU
rnacentral:tRNA from 1 species